rfam:Oryza glaberrima chromosome 7 Oglab07_unplaced159_15, whole genome shotgun sequence.
CUUAAGUGUGGCUCACGUUUCGAAUCAAACAUUUGAUCGUUCAUCUUAUUUAAUUUUUUAUAAAUAAUUUAUUAUUAUUAUUAUUAGAUAAUAAAUAUAAAUAGUGCUUCAUGUGUGUCUUAAUUUUUCAUAAAAUUUUCAAAUAAAAUGAAUGGUCAAACGUUAGACAAGAAAACCUAGAACUGCAUUUAAA